rnacentral:rRNA from 1 species
AUUGAACGCUAGCGGGAUGCCUUACACAUGCAAGUCGAACGGAGUGGCGAACGGGUGAGUAAUGUAUCGGAAUGUGCCCAGUAGUGGGGGAUAACUACGGGAAAGGGUAGCUAAUACCGCAUACUAUCGGAGCGGCCGAUAUCGGAUUAGCUAGUUGGUGGGGUAACGGCUGACCAAGCCGACGAUCCGUAGCUGGUUUGAGAGGACGACCAGCCACACUGGGACUGAGACACGGCCCAGACUCCUACGGGAGGCAGCAGUGGGGAAUGUUGGACAAUGGGCGAAAACCUGAUCCAGCCAUCCCGCGUGUGCGAUGAAGGACUUCGGGUUGUAAAGCACUGUUGGCAGGGAAGCGGUACCUGCAGAAUAAGCACCGGCUAACUACGUGCCAGCAGCCGCGGUAAUUC